rnacentral:misc_RNA from 1 species
CAUUGAACAUCGAUAUCUUGAACGCACAUUGCGGGCCUCGGGCAAUCCCGAGGCCACGCCUGUCUCAGGGUCGGUUUAACAUAUCAAUCGUCGGUCGUCCUCAGAAUGCCGACGCAUUGGAUCGUCGUGGCGAGCGGGUGAAUGGUACCUUGACCGGGGUUCGAGCGGUGAUGUUUUGCGAGCAGAGCGAUUCAGCGUGCAUUCGCAAACGUCACCGUCUCGAGCUGCCUGCCGCCGCGUCGUCCGAAGAACAGACGGGACCGCCGCGUGACCACGCCGGCCGCACGUUCUAAGUCCGCCAGCCGGUGGACGGGGACGGCGACUCGGAAGUCGAAAUACGAUGUCUGCCGUCGCCCGUCGUGGCGGUACGGUCGGCGUCGGUCGCGCAAUGGACCCACGAAGCUCUGCGAAC